AGUGAACGCUGGCGGCGUGCCUAAUACAUGCAAGUCGAACGGAGAUUAGGUAGCUUGCUAUUUAAUCUUAGUGGCGCACGGGUGAGUAAUAUAUAGCUAACUUGCCCAUUACUAAGGGACAACAGUUGGAAACGACUGCUAAUACCUUAUACUCCGUAUCUAUAUAAGUAGAUACGGGAAAGUUUUUCGGUAAUGGAUAGGGCUAUAUCGUAUCAGCUAGUUGGUAAGGUAAUGGCUUACCAAGGCUAUGACGCGUAACUGGUCUGAGAGGAUGAUCAGUCACACUGGAAAUGGGACACGGUCCAAACUCCUAGGGGGGGGAGGGGUAGGGAAUAUUGCUCAAGGGGGGAAACCCGGAGCAAGCAACGCCGGGGGGAGGGUGACACUUUUGGGAGGGUAAACUCUUUUUUUUGGGAAAGAAUUAGGAGGGAACCAAGGAAAAAAGCACGGGUAAAUCCGUG
rnacentral:rRNA from 1 species